ACCCAUUGGAAGAAUGUAAGAUGAAAAAUCAAAAGCUAAACUAACAAGGGUACGGUGAGCAAGUUUCUUCAACAUCAACAGUAGAAAGAAAUAUUGAGAGAUAAAUGUGAAAAAUUAGAAUAUCUUGUUAUAAACUGGGCAUGCUGAUGCUCUGUUUGAUCAGCAUCUAAAAUCAGCUUACUCCCCUUCCUAACAGUUCUAAAGAAUUGCUAUUAUACCAAAACUCCAUGGUAAAAAUUGAACAAAAAUAGAAAGCAGAGUUUCUCAAACUCUUACCUGAUAGAGAGCCACCAAUUCAGG
rnacentral:misc_RNA from 1 species